rnacentral:rRNA from 1 species
AUUGAACGCUGGCGGCAUGCCUUACACAUGCAAGUCGAACGGCAGCACGGGUGCUUGCACCUGGUGGCGAGUGGCGAACGGGUGAGUAAUACAUCGGAACAUGUCCUGUAGCGGUGGAUAGCCCGGCGAAAGCCGGAUUAAUACCGCAUACGAUCUACGGAUGAAAGCGGGGGACCUUCGGGCCUCGCGCUAUAGGGUUGGCCGAUGGCUGAUUAGCUAGUUGGUGGGGUAAAGGCCUACCAAGGCGACGAUCAGUAGCUGGUCUGAGAGGACGACCAGCCACACUGGGACUGAGACACGGCCCAGACUCCUACGGGAGGCAGCAGUGGGGAAUUUUGGACAAUGGGCGAAAGCCUGAUCCAGCAAUGCCGCGUGUGUGAAGAAGGCCUUCGGGUUGUAAAGCACUUUUGUCCGGAAAGAAAUCCUUGGCCCUAAUACGGUCGGGGGAUGACGGUACCGGAAGAAUAAGCACCGGCUAACUACGUG